rnacentral:rRNA from 1 species
AUUGAACGCUGGCGGCAGGCCUAACACAUGCAAGUCGGACGGUAGCACAGAGAGCUUGCUCUCGGGUGACGAGUGGCGGACGGGUGAGUAAUGUCUGGGGAUCUGCCCGAUAGAGGGGGAUAACCACUGGAAACGGUGGCUAAUACCGCAUAACGUCGCAAGACCAAAGAGGGGGACCUUCGGGCCUCUCACUAUCGGAUGAACCCAGAUGGGAUUAGCUAGUAGGCGGGGUAACGGCCCACCUAGGCGACGAUCCCUAGCUGGUCUGAGAGGAUGACCAGCCACACUGGAACUGAGACACGGUCCAGACUCCCACGGGAGGCAGCAGUGGGGAAUAUUGCACAAUGGGCGCAAGCCUGACGCAGCCAUGCCGCGUGUAUGAAGAAGGCCUUCGGGUUGUAAAGUACUUUCAGCGGGGAGGAAGGCGAUGUGGUUAAUAACCGCAUUGAUUGACGUUACCCGCAGAAGAAGCACCGGCUAACUCCGUGCCAGCCGCCGCCGUAC